rnacentral:lncRNA from 1 species
CGGCUUUGUUUAACAUUUACUUUAAAAAUGAAUGAUGACAAUUCUUCGCUAGUGACAACUAACAUGAGCAUUGCAUGGUCCCAUUAAGAGAAAAAAAAAAGGGGGGCUGCAUAGACAAAUAGAAAGAAUGAAGCUUUUCACACACGCCUACUAAAUAUUGAAAUUAAAAUGUAAAACGAAGACAUGUUUGCCACAAUAAUAAUCACUUACUUGUCGCUACAUAAGGAUGACUUCCAGUCUUCUUUGGAGUCAAAGACGUGUUUGCAGCAACAGUCAUCGCCUAGUUGUCGCUGUACAAGGAUGACUUCCAGUCUUCUUUGGAAUCCAAAGUCAUAUAAAGAAAAAAAAUACAACAGAUACAAAUUUUCAUCCUUUCGAGUGAACAAAUAGCAAUACCGAUAUUGAAUCUGAAAUUUUAUCUAUCGAAAUAAAUAAAAUUAUUUACAGUUGGAUAAAAUUUUAUUUUAUUUAUUUUCUGUUUGUGUUGUGUCUUAAUUUAAUUCUUAUGUUUGUUACAAUAAUUUUGUUUUUAUUAAAGAAUUACUUCUUAAAUUCAGAUUGUUUGAAUGAUAUAA